rnacentral:lncRNA from 1 species
GUUUUUUAUCUGCAGCCAAUCCUAGGGAAGGCAGGAGGACACUCCUCCAAUGGGAGCCCGGGAGCCGUCGGUAGCGGGGUAGGCCUGUGGCCCCGCUAGCGCUCCAGCCAGCGAGAGGGACGCGUCCAGUGUAUUCUGGAGAUCUCGCUGCCAGCCCCUUGUAUCUGUUUGCGUGGCAGCCGCGGCACUGACGGUGGCUACAGGUGUCGGGUGAGUGGUAAAGACCGGGCUUGGGGGAGUGGCGGCGGGAAUAGGCCUGGCCGGAGCGCGUGAGGGGUGGGGUCUGGGCGAGCUUUUACCUGGGCGGCCUCUCAACCCUAGGUCAGCGGGUUGCAGAGGAUCACGCGGGUAGCAAAGGGAGGCCGAGUGCUCCUGCGGCCCCAGAUGGCAACCAGCUUGAAGAAUUCCCUUUAGCUUUUCUUAUAAGACAGUUCUGGUGUGGAUGAACUCUCUCAGCUUUUGUUUUCCUGGGAAAGUCUUUAUCUCUCCCUCAUUUCUGAAGAACAGCUUUGCCAGGUGCUGUAAUCUGUCACCUGGUUUCCUUAGCGCUUGUGAAGUAUUUUUCUGCACGGAUAGUUCAAAUUGA